rnacentral:rRNA from 1 species
UACGUAGGUGGCAAGCGUUGUCCGGAUUUAUUGGGUUUAAAGGGUGCGUAGGCGGCCCUGUAAGUCAGUGGUGAAAUGCUCUAGCUUAACUAGAGAGGUGCCAAUGAUACUGCAGGGCUUGAGUACAGAUGAGGUAGGCGGAAUUGACGGUGUAGCGGUGAAAUGCAUAGAUAUUCGCAAGAACACCAGUGGCGAAGGCGGCUCACUGGCUCGGUACUGACGCUGAGGUGCGAAAGCGUGGGGAGCGAACAGG